rnacentral:lncRNA from 1 species
UGGCCCAAGAGGAUAAUUAUCCACUAUGAUCUUGGUUCAAUAAAUUUGGAUCCAAACCUAUGUAUCAAUCAGACUAUCUUGGAUUUAUCCUUGAUAGUGACUAUUGGUUUAUUAUUCCUUAUCAUUAGUGAGGAUAAAGAUUGUUCAACAAGGAAUCUACCACUAAUAAUUUAUCCUUAUCAUAAUUGAUGGAAGAGUCUAGAUCCAAGCAAUAUUUUAAUCAU